UCAAAGCUGUUGUACGUCUGUUGUGUAACAGUAGGAGAUCAUCUUGGACACCUGAAACAGGGCCCUUUCUGUACCAGCAGCCUGUGCAAGUUCUCAUUCCUUGGAGCUCAAAUAUCUCAGAACUCUUGUCAGUGCAGCGUAAUUUUUUAAGGUAUAUGUAAUAUACAUGUUCUCUAUAUUGUGCUAAAUAAAUCACUGUUUCUAUUUGUUUUUUCCAGUUGAAUUGAUCGUAAAUUGAGAUUUGGUGAUGCUCAUUAAUUGUACGUCUUCAACUCAAAUAUCUGGACCUGUUCUCUGAGGGAAGUGGACAUUUCAUCAAACGUGUGGGUUUCUUGAUGGAGUGGGUUUUAAAACUAACUUUUUCCACUUCUAGUCAGCAUUUUCAGUCCUAGCAUCUGCAUUUUGGUUGUUGCAAUCUCCAGUGAAUGGAAGAUGCUUGUAGGACUGAUCAGUGAUGCUUGUAUUGUGCCAUUGGUCUGUUCUCUACAAACUAGGAUGAGCCCUCUUCUUGCAAGUCUCUUGCAGAGGUAAUCACUGUCCAUUUUUUAAAAUUGGUCUGGUUCACAAUUGCAAGUACUGUCUCAAUAAAAGUAACUAACUUUUUUUAAAAUUUA